rnacentral:rRNA from 1 species
AUUGAACGCUGGCGGCAGGCUUAACACAUGCAAGUCGAACGAGUCGCGGAAGGGUGAGUAAUGCUUGGGAAUCUAGCUUAUGGAUGGGGAUAACUACGGGAAACUGUAGCUAAUACCGCGUACCAUAGGAUGAGCCCAAGUGGGAUUAGGUAGUUGGGGAGGUAAAGGCGCACCACGCCGACGAUCGCUAGCUGGGCUGAGAGGAUGACCAGCCGCAUGGGGACUGAGACACGGCCCAGACGCCUACGGGAGGCAGCAGUGGGGAAUAUUGCACAAUGGGGGCAACCUGACGCAGCCAUGCCGGGUGGAGGAAGACGGCCUUCGGGUUGUAAAGUGCUUUCGGUAGCGAGGCGUUAGCUACAUAAGAAGCACCGGCUAACUCCGUGCCAGCCGCCGCGGUAAUUC